UGCAAGGGCACUCUGUGUUAUUCAUUAUGUAUGAUAAUUACAAUUUGUUACCUUGCUAGAUCAGAACUACCAAACCCUAUUCCGGAUAACUCCAUAGUUAAUCUGGUCAUAGUGGUAGAUACAUUUU